rnacentral:lncRNA from 1 species
UUUGAUUCGGAAUUUGUAAUAUUCUAAAAAUAUUAUAUAUGCUGUACUCAGAAUGACAAUUUUGUUACUAACUUAUCACACCACUUAAAUUGGGAGUUCGUUAAGAACUAGUAUAUUCUUAUUAACAUACUACUAAUAAUUUUCACUAAGCAUGAUAAUAAGGAUCCCUCGUAUUCCAUGAUAAUUUAGUAUUUCUUAGC